ensembl:lncRNA
AGGGAGAACUCAGUGCAAUGGUUUAAAGCAGGGGUUCUGGUUGCAAACUGUCUAGCUUGAACCCUUGCUUUGCCAUUUGCCAGUGUGCAGCCUUAGGUGUCUUCAGCUGAGUCACUCCGAUCACCGGAGACAGAUUUACUCUCCUGUGACAGGUGGACCCUUCAGAGCCCUCUUCAUGAUGCAGAGGUGCCUAGGGCCUGGUUUAGAUCAUCAGAUUAAAGAUGUCUUUGGAAUACCAGAAAUGAAAAGUGCUGGAGUUUUUGGUCAAGGACAAAGUAAAGAGCUCACAGUGAAAUCAAGCUACAGUGCCUUAAAGACAAUAGCAGCGACAUGCACGAGUAACUAAAGUCUUCCCUCAGGAAGCAUCAGCAGGACAGAGAGGUGAAGGAGUUAGGAGUAGGCAACUACAAACAGAAAAAUCACACUAGGUCUAGCUGCCUGAAGACACCAAGUCGCCCAUUCCCCGUUGGGAUUUGAUAUGACUCUUUUUCUAAAAAAAUGCAACACAGACAGCUUUGGGGACAAGUACCUUGUCUUACUUUUGACUCUUAAGAUUGAUAUAUAGAAG